AUUUCUUUAGUAUAUAAGUAUAAAUGCCUUCCAAGCAUAAGGUCCCAACGGGAAGAAAUA
rnacentral:tRNA from 1 species